AUCAGUGCCUGUCUAGGUGGA
rnacentral:miRNA from 1 species